rnacentral:misc_RNA from 1 species
GUUGAUAGAUCCAGUAAUGACCUCAGAACUCCAUCUGGAUUUGUUCAGAACGCUCGGUUGCCGCCGGGCGUUUUUUA